AGUGAACGCUGGCGGUAGGCCUAACACAUGCAAGUCGAACGGCAGCACAGUAAGAGCUUGCUCUUACGGGUGGCGAGUGGCGGACGGGUGAGGAAUACAUCGUAAUCUACUUUUUCGUGGGGGAUAACGUAGGGAAACUUACGCUAAUACCGCAUACGACCUACGGGUGAAAGCAGGGGAUCUUCGGACCUUGCGCGAUUGAAUGAGCCGAUGUCGGAUUAGCUAGUUGGCGGGGUAAAGGCCCACCAAGGCGACGAUCCGUAGCUGGUCUGAGAGGAUGGUCAGCCACACUGGAACUGAGACACGGUCCAGACUCCUACGGGAGGCAGCAGUGGGGAAUAUUGGACAAUGGGCGCAAGCAUGAUCCAGCCAUACCGCGUGGGUGAAGACGGCCUUCGGGUUGUAAAGCCCUUUUGUUGGGAAAGAAAAGCAGCAGGUUAAUACCCCGCUGUUCUGACGGUACCCAAAGAAUAAGCACCGGCUAACUUCGUG
rnacentral:rRNA from 1 species